CACGUAGGGGCGCAAGCGUUGUCCGGAAUUAUUGGGCGUAAAGGAGCUCGUAGCGGUCUGUUGCGUCCGCUGUGAAAACCUCCGGGGGCUUAACCCCCGAGCCUGACAGUGGAUACGGGCAGACUAGAGGUAGGUAGGGGAGAAUGGAAUUCCCGGUGUAGCGGUGAAAUGCGCAGAUAUCGGGAGGAACACCGGUGGCGAAGGCGGUUCUCUGGGCCUUACCUGACGCUGAGGAGCGAAAGCGUGGGGAGCGAACAGGG
rnacentral:rRNA from 1 species